UCGAACGACCCUUUCACAGGGGUCGCCUAAGACCAUCCUGCAUAUCAGAUAUUUACAUUACGAUUCAUAACAGUAGCAACAUUACAGUUAUGAAGUAGCAACGAAAAUAAUUUUAUGGUUGGGUCACAACAUGAGGAACUGUAUUUAAAGGGCCAGAAGGUUGAGAACCACUUGGAUAGAGUGUCAGCCUGCAGACUGAAGGAUUCCGGUUUUGAUUCUGGUCAAGGGCACAUGCCUGGGUUGCGGGCUUGAUCCCCAGUGCGGGGCGUGCAGGAGGCAGCCAAUCAAUGAUUCUCUCUCCUCAUUGAUGUUUCUAUCUCUCUUUCUCUCUCCCUUCCUCUCUGAAAUAAAGAUAUAUUAUUAAAAAAAAGACACAAUUCAAUUUCUGAACUGAAAUAUAAUCAGGUAGUUCAAAACAAAUGCACUU